rnacentral:lncRNA from 1 species
AUUACUAUUUAAGCUGCCAUAGAGUCCUAGACGAACUAAUAUAUUUUACCAUGCUGUCUUAUAAUUUUUCAAAUGCUAUCUGCUAAUAGUAGAAAGAAAGAAAGAGAAAGAAGGUAUCAACGCUGUUGAGCAUGAGAAUUAUUUUAAACAAAAAAAAUGAUAUCUCAUUAACUAUUAAUCGUAGAGAAGCCUAUAAGGGGUCAUUUUGUUCGUAAAGCGAUUUUCUAAAAAUUGUACGCAUUAUGUCUAGAUCUCGGAUUCAUAGUUUUCGAGAUAUUCUACUAUUAAGUUAAAACAACGUGCAUUCUGCUAUUAACAUAAGAAAGAAUCGAAGGUCGGAAAAGAUCGGGCAUCUUCGAAGUUUUUCGAAGCAGGUUUGAAUACGUUUAUUGUUCCUCAGUGCGUAAUUGACUGUGUUAUCAAUAGAGAGUGAUACAUUAUACAGUGACACAUAAAAGUGCGUCAUUUUGUAACGACUAAAAUGGAUUUACAAGGGCAUUUUGAACGUCCAGAAAUUAUCAACAACCCUAUAUACCAACUUUUAUUAAAUUCAGCUGAUGGCAAAAGUGUUUUAAAAUAUUAUCGAGAUAAUGGAUGCUUGAAGAAAACCUUAAGAAAUUUACUCAGCAGACUUAUACUCAGCCCUGAAAAAGAUAGACAAUUAAAAACAGUUCUCCAAGUGCCAUAAAGAUGCUCCUAUUUUUUACAAAGUAGAUAAUAUUAUAGUUUGUAGCAAUAUUAAAGUAUGUCUUAUUGUUAAAAAAUUAAUAAGUACAUUCCUCUACGAAAAAACUGAAUGUUAUCGAUUGUACAACGAUCAGUAUACGUGGGAUGUACUAAAUUUGGAUGACCUAUUUAGCUUUAAGAUUACGAAUCUUGUAAGAGCAUCUAAUGGUGCGAAAUUUAUUCUCAAAAAUUGGUUUUAAUUUAAAUAAAGAUAUAUUUAAUAAUUCAUAAAA